UACGAAGGAUGCAAGCGUUAUCCGGAUUUAUUGGGUUUAAAGGGAGCGUAGGCGGUCUUAUAAGUCAGUGGUGAAAUCUUGUCGCUUAACGACAAACGUGCCAUUGAUACUGUAGGACUUGAGUACAGAUGCCGUUGGCGGAAUGUGUCAUGUAGCGGUGAAAUGCAUAGAUAUGACACAGAACACCGAUUGCGAAAGGCAGCUGACGAAACUGU
rnacentral:rRNA from 1 species